rnacentral:lncRNA from 1 species
AUGCAGUCAAAUGUGGCAGUUUUUAAUAUUUGUUGCUAUGUGAAAUAAAGGGAAGUAAAUUAAAGUAAAAGAAGGCGCGCUUUUUCAAAUAGUAAACAAUUUAAUUCAGAUGCAUAGUAUUUUGUCAAAUGAUAAAGAAUAUCGUAGAAACUUGCUAGAAAUUCAUCUAAUUUAUAAAAGAUAUACAACAUGACAUACUGAAAUCUGAAAAGGGGUAAAACCACCAUACCUUGAACAAAUUCAGUUAAAAAAAGGGGGGGGGGUAAAAUGCUACGAA